ACGAACGCUGGCGGCGUGCCUAAUCCAUGCCAGUCGCACGAACCGCGACUGAGUGCUUGCACUUGGUCAAGGUGAGUGGCGAACGGGUGAGUAACACGUGGGUAACCUACCUCAUAGUGGGGGAUAACAGUCGGAAACGACUGCUAAUACCGCAUAGGACAUAGGAUCACAUGAUCCAGUGAGGAAAGGUGGCGCAAGCUAUCGCUAAGAGAUGGACCCGCGGUGCAUUAGCUAGUUGGUAGGGUAAAGGCCUACCAAGGCGAUGAUGCAUAGCCGACCUGAGAGGGUGAUCGGCCACAUUGGGACUGAGACACGGCCCAAACUCCUACGGGAGGCAGCAGUAGGGAAUCUUCCGCAAUGGACGCAAGUCUGACGGAGCAACGCCGCGUGAGUGAAGAAGGUCUUCGGAUCGUAAAGCUCUGUUGUUAGAGAAGAACAGCGCAUAGAGUAACUGCUAUGCGUGUGACGGUAUCUAACCAGAAAGCCACGGCUAACUACGUG
rnacentral:rRNA from 1 species